UAUAUAUAUAUAUAUAUACAUGUGCAUCCACAUUUAUAUGUAUUUUUUUUUUGUUUUCCAAUUCAAUUUUAUAGACCAAACCCGCAAUUUGUUGGUGAUCAUCCCGUAUCAUUUAUACAGCCAUCUAUGUCAAACUUAAACAACAAAGAUAUUCCUAACUAUGCUAUAAACAACUACUCAUAUGACAAUAUGAAUGCACAUACGAAUUAUGAUAAUACAGUAGUUCCUGCUAAUAAUGUAGGUAACUACUAUCCUAGAAAUUUCCUAGCGACUCAACAGCUUUCUUCUGUUAAUAGUAACAACAGUAGAAACAAUAGUACAAAUUUUUUGAAUAAAAAUAUGAACAAUAAUAAUCAUAUUAACAAUAACAUUAAUCAGAUUAAUAGUGGUAAUAUAAAUACUCCGUUUUUUAAUAAUAGGUAUACAUUUAAUAAUAAUAUUAAUAAUCAAAAUAGUAAUAGCACACUUCCACAACAGCAACUACUACAUGUACAAGCACCAACAUACCUCAAAACGAGAACGCAACUACCAACACAACCACUUAAUAAUAAUUUGAGUUGCAAAAUAAAUAUGAAUGCAAAUUUAUCACAACCAAAUUAUAUAAAUAAUAAUAGGUAUCAAAAUAAUUUAAAUACUAAUAGUAAUUAUGUAUACCCAACAAAUAAUUUGACAAGCAUAAAUAACACUGUGUCAAAUGACAUACACCCGCCAAAUGAUAGUAUGAACACAGCAUCCGUUUUAAAAAAUAAUAAAUCUAUAAAUUAUAUAAAUCCGUACAACAAUAUGUAUAAUCCUGCUACUACUGCUAAUGGUGAUAGUAAUAGUAAUAAUAAUAAUAAUAACAAUAAUAACAAUAAUAACAAUAAUAACAAUAAUAAUAAUAUAAAUAAUGAAUAUACUGACAUCAAACCAAAACAGCCAAAAUAUAAUGUACUUAUGUCGAAUAAACAAAUGGUUUUCAAUAAACAAUUAAUUUUAAAUAAUGAACAAACAAGCUCAAAAACACAGUCUACUGCUUCAGUUACAAACAAACCAUUAAACACAAAUAUAGCUAACGAAACAGAUACUCCAAAUGUUAUAUUAAAUGAUAGUACCAGUAGUAAUAAUAUGAAUGCUCCAACAAACACACAAACGAGUCCAUUUCAGAACAAUACUAGUGCUCAAGUAAUAACAAAUGAUGCUUAUUUUAAUAAUCAAAAAGUUUAUACAGAAGGAAACCAACUAUUAAAUAAAGAAGAACCAAUUGAUGCCUUGAAACCUAUAAUAAAGGUAAGCAUUUUCUUUUUUUUUUUUUUUUUUUUAUCAACAUAUAUAUAAUUAAUUUGGAAAAUUGUGCCAUUGGGGUUGUUUUUAUGUUCUCAUAUAAAUUUUUGUUAUCUUAAUUUACUCAAUUGGCUGUUCUUACAUUUAAUUUUUCAUUUCGUCAUUAUUUACGUCUGCAUUUUUUACCUAUGAAUUUUUUUUUUUUUUUUUUUUUUUUUUUUUAGAUACCAAAAAAAUGCCUAUACCUACCAAACUGUCAAUUUGGAGAUAAAUGUCGUUAUAUCCAUCCUGUUGAAAAUGUAAAAUUUUAUUUUUUAUUUAUGUAUAUUCUAUUCUAUUUUUUUUUUCAUUUCAUUUUUUUUUUUUUUUUUUUUUU
ensembl:lncRNA